ensembl:misc_RNA RN7SL860P RNA, 7SL, cytoplasmic 860, pseudogene
ACUGUUAGCAGAUAGGAGUGAGGAGUUUAGAACAGCUGGUCACUAUGCCGACCGGGUUUCUGCGUUAAGUUCGGCAUCAAAACGGUGACCUGGGAGUAGAGGGGCCACCAGGUUGCCUAAGGAUGGGUGAACUGGCCCAAGUCAGAAAUGAAGCAGGUCAGAACUCCCCUGCCGGGCAGUAGUGGAACUGAGCUUGGGCAACAUAGUGCGACUUUGGUUCUCA